rnacentral:tRNA from 1 species
GUUAAUAUAGUUUUAAAACAAACAUUAAACUGUGGUUCUAAAAAUAGGAGUGGAAACCUCCUUAUAAACC